AGGCGCGAAAACUCCACAAUGUACGACAGUACGAUGGGGUUAUCUCGAGUGCAGUCCGAUAAGGGCUGCUUUUCCAUAGAGUAAUAUCCUGUGGGAAUAAGAGGGGGGCAAGACUGGUGUCAGCCGCCGCGGUAACACCAGCCCCUCGAGUGGUGGGGACUAUUAUUUGGUCUAAAGCGUCCGUAGCUGGCUGUAUCCGUCCCCCGUUAAAUCCAGCGUCCUAAGCGUUGGACUGCGGGUGAUACCAUACAGCUAGAGGGUGGGAUAGGUGAGCGGUAUUUCUGGGGUAGGGGCGAAAUCCUUUGAUCCCAGGAGGACCACCAGUGGCGAAGGCUGCUCACUAGAACACGCCUGACGGUCAGGGACGAAAGCUGGGGCAGCGAACCGGAUUAGAUACCCGGGUAGUCCCAGCUGUAAACGAUGCCAGCUAGGUGUUGGGUCGGCCACGCGCCGCCUCAGUGCCGCAGGGAAGCCGUUAAGCUGGCCACCUGGGGAGUACGGCCGCAAGGCUGAAACUUAAAGGAAUUGGCGGGGGAGCAC
rnacentral:rRNA from 1 species